UUCAAUUUACAUAUUAUCAGAGUUUUCAACCCCAAGUACGAAACCUUUAAACAUCUAUUACAUAAUAAUAUUUAUCAUCCUUAUCAUAAAGUCAAAUUAUUACAUAGGAUAACAUAGAAAUUCAUUCAGCAACCUUUCCUUUCCCUUUGUUUCUGGCAGAUCCUUCAGGUUGUUCACACUUAGCUGAAACAUUUAAAUUAAGCAAGGAUGAGCAUUUGAGUACUCAGCAAGUAAUAACAAGCAAUAACAGUUAGCUAAAAGAAUUAAAUAUUUUCUUUGAACGAUACUUCUACAACGGAUCAACAGUUGUGAAGUAAGCUGAACCAAUA
rnacentral:lncRNA from 1 species